UAAAAACCCUAUUUGUAAACAACCAGUCCUUUAACUCAGGGCUGCGUCAUAAACACGGAGCGCUUGGAAGACCACGAUGUCAUCUUCCUUCUGUCAGGAGGAUCCAAGUGAAGCUACAGGAGUUUCAUUAACGUCAACAACUUGGACCGAACGGUUUGUUUUGCUUGAUGAAGAGCAGGAAGGGCAGCCUGGAGAGAAAGAGAAGCCGGGUUGAGCCCACUACCAUCAUCCACGUACCACGAGGAAGAUGAGGGAGAGAAAUGAUCCUACCAUUAAAGAGACUGUGAAAAGAACGUUGAGAGCAUCACCACUCUACAGGAAGACACAGUCCAGUAAUGGGUGUCAGAAUUUCAGUAGUGAACGACAGGUACUGUGGAAAAAUGUGUGUCAUUGUUGUACAAUGUCCUUUGACUCUGUUUACACAAGGUUAACACAAAAAGGUUUGAUUGUAAACUGAUAUUGGUAUGAAUUCAUGUUAUUCUCCUCCUCAAAAGAAACAAACAAUCCAAAUUACCUGCAGAAAGCCCUUGAUGGACGCUUCAGCUGCAUCGUCAGACUGGCCAGACAGCAAGAUGCCAACUUUAAUGCCAAUUUAUUUGUGAAACAUUCUGUGACCAAAUGUAUAGAUAACUUUUUGUAGAUUGUAAAAAAGAUAACCCAUUUAUUAAAAAAAAACUACACUAGAAUUACCGCACUGCGUUGUAUGACUCCGCUAACCAGUGCAGUGUCCGUCUACAUAUUUCUACAUAUUUUCUCUCGUAUAAAUGACACUGUGUCUCUUGACAACUGAAACCAUAAGAUGAGGUCAGUGUGGCCUUGACCUUUUGACUUUAACACAGAUACACAGUUAGACAAUCCGAAAAC